AUCGCAUAUCAAGAAAGGAAAGAGACAAAGAGAGUUGGUCUGAAUCAUUCCCUACAGUGUCGGUAGCAGAGAAAGAGACUGUGAGAGUUCCAUCGGGGAGGAUUAAUGCACGGGACAAAAACCGUACCGUAUACAGCGAGAAACAAGAGAGCUGGACUUGGAAGAGUAGAGGGUGGAUGUUGUGGUGGCAAGACGAGGGGUUUGCAUGACGAGUUGUACUACAAGUUUGCACGGCAAAUGGACUAUGUCUGUGUUUAUGCCGUUUGUAAUCUGAGGACUACAAGAGUAAUACACACUAGGUCCAACUAUUAUAUACAAGAAGGGAAGGCUGAAAUCCGGCCUAUUGUCAGGUUCUCCAGGCUGGGCUCCAUCUGUCGCUGGACCCUGUCCUAUUCUUCUUACCAUAUUCCGGCGUAUUAGAUGGAACAAAACAUCUCGUCAUCAAACAAUCUCACAUCUCGUCAUCCAAUCGAUUCUUUUCACACAAUGUGUUUUCCAGCUAUUGAUAGGCCAUUGUAGAAACCGAUGCAUAGGCAGCGGUAAAACUAGAAUCUGUUGAACAUUUUUGAGUUCCUAUUUCGACAAACGAGUUUUUAUUUUUCAACUUUCAAGUGAGCGCUAGAUAAAUUCGGCGAUUAUUCUCUUUCGCUGUUACAUCUCUGGAUUUUCUUACGGUACUACUCUGUUUUAUCUGGAUUAAAUUAUUUUGAAUAUUUCCCUGGUGAUUUUCAAUGUUGCAGUGUCAUCAAUGACGUCACGUACAAUACACACGGAUGAUGCUUGGUAGCAGCCUAGAAUAGAAAAAUUCCAUGAAAAUACCCAAAAUCUGGGUCGUAUUCAAUAAUAUAAAGAGGACAAAGCCCCACUUGGCGUUUGCAUUCUUUUCCGUUACCGCCGUCAUCAAAAUGAGGAAGAAGAAUGGGGACAUUGAGAACAAACAAACAAAAAAUCCCUGUGAUCCUUGCGAGAACUUUUAAUUCGUGGCAAUACGAGAGUUUCUUGUUCUUGUAAUGUUUGUUGAACAAUACGCCAUCCGUUUAGUGUACAGGACUACGUAUAGUCACGGGACAAUAUAGUUUAAUGCUUUAUGCCUGUGCGCACCGCAAAGACCCUCCCUAUUUCUUUUCUAUGCAGGAAAGCAAAUGACAUUUUUUUUUAUUCGUCGAUGUCAAAAGAUGUCCUUGCUUCCGUUGGCCGGAAAAAAAAACAGUUGGAAUAAGAGAAGGGUCCGCUGCAGCUGAUGAAUAGAUGGACAAAAAAAAUAUUCCAUUUAAUCGUCUUCCGCUGUUGAUGACUGCAGAUGUGGAAUCGCGCAAUCCCUUUAACUUUGUUAAUUAUUUCCUACUUCCUCUUGAAUUUCACAAAUAAAUUUUUAAUCUGGAUUCUGUCAAACAUUUUUGCGCCCAUCCAGUAAUAAGAUGUACGCUAAUAACAAAGCAACAACUUGUAGCAGCUGUAUAUAUGGAAAGCAUUGCUGUUAUGCAUUGCGGCAACCUAUAUAGAAAUAAGGAGCAGAGUGUUGACGGCGACAUUAUGACGUCAGUCUCGCCGACAACACGAAGAUUUAUACGCGAGCUUGUGUUUUGUGUGUGCGUGUGCUGUGCGUGUCACGGUAUCCUCUCACUCACUCAUCAUCUAGCUGGUCGCCAUCGUCCUCACGCCUCGCUUAUUCUAUGUUUAGCAUCCAACAGUGUAGUGGCACGGCGGCUCUGUUUCCCUCAAAAAACAGUUGCUCGAGCACAGCAGCAUAUAACGUUAUAACGGCUAUAUGCAAAGAACUAGUUUCUCUCUAUUUCGUAUGGCGCAACAUAAAUGUAGAGGUAGGCGGAGUUGGCUGCAGAGUCAUCUGAGGCGCAAGAGGCCACAACCAAUUCAAAAACUGCAAAAUAUUAUUAUUUGUUUAAUGCUCGUUAUUAUUUAGCUAAGGCAGGCAGUUAAGAUUUGGAAGAGCUUUAGCGCUAUUAUUAGCACAUCACUGGAUUCAUUAUUGCCCAAAACCUGAUUUUGAGAGGCAGCUGGGUUGUCCGCCUUCGAGAUUUUGUUACCUUACCAGUGGACUGUGUGUGGUUGUUAUUAAAAAUGAUUGGAUCCCAUGAAUUGUUUCUUAAAGCGCAUGAAAUCUUAAGGGUUGGACGUUGCGGUGGCCACGAUUGUCAGCUACCUACGUUGGCAAGGUAUUCGUUGGGUUGACUGUGAUUUUGAUUUCAUAAAAAAAAAAUCGAAAUAGCAAAUGACGUUCAACAACUCGCUAAUAGUCGUAGUAAGAAAAUAAAAAUAAUUCAGCUCUGUCUUACACCGAUUAGCUGCAGAGGCUCUAUACUAUCAUUGUGUGUUUGCGUGUUUAAAUUCAUUGUGUGUUCAUUGUGUUGUUGAUUGCGUGUUUUUUAAAUUUUCGCUUUCUUUCUAUAAUCGAGGUAUCGCGCCAUCUAGUUCGAAAUCAAGCAACCCCAAAGUCACCCAAAGUAGAGUCAGAAGAAUCCAUAUACAAUCUUAGUACAGCAACAUCCAACGGAAAUUAUUCCACUAGUAUAAAUCUGGUAUUAUUGUGGCGCGCAGUCCGCGCACUUAAGUAAACUUACGGUUCAUAGUAUUGUUGGAAUCACUAUCAAGGGAAAAAGCAGUCGAAGACUCCUGUACCAAUCGACGUCAUAUUCCAGUUGGGCAUGGGAAAUUAAAAUUAAUAAAUUUUAAAAAAAGAGGAAUAAUCAAAGUUUCGCUAGCAAAGAGUUGGAGCUCACCUGCAACUAUUCCGAUCAUCACAGCGAGAAUGAGAUGGUUGAAAUGAAAGAAAAAGUGGAUCAGCUCUUCAAAUUCAAAAAGUUAUUUUUUGAAAUGACUAAACGAAGCACUAAGACACUUUUGUUGAUCAAUAAUUUAUUUAUUUUGAAUCGAAUUUAUUUUAAUUUAAAAUUUUUCUUCUUAAGGAGCGGCCAAAAUUUAAGUUUAAUUCUUAUUUAGAAAUUUUUAUGGAAACAUAUCACCCGAACUUAAGGUAUCGAACCCCACGAGAAGGAAAGGUUGCUAUGGAAACCUGAUUGGCGUUACCAGUCCAUUUAGGUAAUGACCGAGAAAAUGUGGCCCACAUGAACAUCAUUCGACUACUCAAGAUUGAAUUGAUGACCUUUAGUAAUUUCAUGGUUCUUCAUGGUUUGUUUUAUUGGAAAUAAUAUUCCCGCAACUAUACUGGCAAGGCUCAACUGUGUGCAAAUCAUGAAAUGAAUAUGGGUUGAUCAUGUGUUUGAAAUUUAGAUAAGGUUGCAGAGGAAUAUUUUCAAAAGAACCGACUGUCCUUCAAACGGUUUGAAAUGGAAGAUUUAUUCAUUCACCAAAGAAACAAGUCAAAUGACGCAAAUGUCAAUUGGUAUAAAACCCAUCCCCUAGCAACGUCAAAAUGCAGAAGGAAAGGCCAGUUUGCAUGUCCUUGACGCUCGAAGGUCACGGAGAUCGUAACGUAAAACGUGCCAUGAAAUGGUGUAGAAGAUGUAGACCCAUCCCCCAGCAACGUCAAAAUGCAGAAGGAAAGGCGAGGAAAGGC